UAAGUGUAUUUGAUCCAUCAUUCUCUAUGUUUUGUUUAGAUGGUGUCAAACAAAACUGGGAUCAUAGGGACCAGAAUUCAAAUAAACAGAAGUAAUAAGGCUGGGGGAAAAAUUUCUGGACAGUAAACAUGUGUCCUGGACUGCUUCAAGAAUAUCUGUCUCUUGACAGUAGCAAAGUAUCUGCCUUUUGAUAAUGAAGAAAUCUAGGCAAGGACACAGGCAUAAAUGUAAGAGGCAAAUGACAAAGACAAAGAGUUCCAAUACAUCCACGCAAAGAAUUCGAAAAGAAUGUGUCGUUGAUGGCCAGCUAGAUACUACAGGUAACCAGGCUGACAGAGUCAAAGCAGAUAUCAUAGAGAACAUUUUGUGAUCCUGAAAAAGGUCAAACUUUUUAGCAGUAACUUGAUAAUUAAAGGGCAUUUCUUUCUUCAUAGAUUCUGUUUGUCCUGGUAAAAUUUAAAAAGCUAUGAAUCCUUGGACAAGUCUCGGAUCUUAGCAAGAAUUUCAGCAGUCAGCCAAAAAGUGACUAUGAAAUAUUACUCUCUGAUCUGGGGAGUGAUCUGGGGAGCCAUUCUGAAGCACAAGAUAAGAAGGGACCAGACUUUUAAUUGAUCAAAUUUUAAAAGAAAUUAAUUCCAUGAAAAAAUAAUAAAAAAUAAAAUUUAAAAAAAUAAAAAAUAAAC
rnacentral:lncRNA from 1 species